AGCCACAGAGCCUCUGGCCAGGGGAGAUUCUUCAUUAGGUUGCUCCAUCUGUCUGUCUGGGACUGUUUCUCUCUCAACUUCUACAGCUGCAACUAACAAACUGGACUAAACCCGGCAGGUCGAGCAGAUAAAUGGUGUUUAGAUGAGGAAUGAGGAAGCAGCACCAGGCCUGGUUCUGCAGAAAGGUGAAGAGAUCAGAAGAGCACACCUGUCUGUACUCGGCCAUCAGGCAGGAGGAGGAUGAUGAGUUUGGUUGUAAUGAGAUGAUCCUGUGUACUAGAGGCUGCCAUUUUGACAGCAUGAGAGAAUUCACAACAGCAUGUUUUUCUUUAGUGUAUAAUCACCUGAAUAAUACCACUCGUUGUG